rnacentral:rRNA from 1 species
CACGUAGGCGGCAUGGUAAGUCAUAGGUGAAAGCCCUCGGCUCAACCGAGGAACUGCCUUUGAAACUGCUUCGCUUGAGUCCGGGAGGGGGGAGCGGAAUUCCCAGUGUAGCGGUGAAAUGCGUAGAUACUGGGAGGAACACCGGUGGCGAAGGCGGCUCCCUGGACCGGUACUGACGCUGAGGUGCGAAAGCGUGGGUAGCAAACA